rnacentral:rRNA from 1 species
AAUGAACGCUGGCGGCGUGCGUAACACAUGCAAGUCGAACGAGAAAUUCCGGGCUUGCUCGGGAGAGUAAAGUGGCGAACGGGUGAGUAACGCGUGGGUAACCUGCCCCUGAAUCUGGAAUAACUUCGCGAAAGCGAGGCUAAUACCGGAUAUGGUCCCAGGGACUGUGUCCUUGUGAUGAAAGAUGACCUCUUCACGAAAGUUGUCGUUCAGGGAGGGGCCCGCGUACCAUUAGCUAGUUGGUAGGGUAAUGGCUUACCAAGGCGAUGAUGGUUAGCUGGUCUGCAAGGAUGACCAGCCACACUGGCACUAAAAGACGGGCGAGACUCCUACGGGAGGCAGCAGUGAGGAAUUUUGCGCAAUAGGGGAAACCCUGACGCAGCAAAGCCGCGUGAGUGAAGAAGGCCUUAGGGCCGUAAAGCUCUGUCAAGUGGGAAAAAAGCUUCUUGGUGAAUAGCCAGGAAGACUGAUGGUACCAUUGAAGGAAGCACCGGCUAACUCCGUGCCAGCCGCCGCGGUAAAAC